rnacentral:rRNA from 1 species
UACAGAGGGUGCGAGCGUUGUCCGGAAUCACUGGGCGUAAAGGGCGCGUAGGCGGUCUGCUAAGCGUGCGGUGAAAGCCCGGGGCUCAACCCCGGGUCGGCCGUGCGAACUGGUGGACUGGAGCUUGUCAGAGGCAGGCGGAAUUCCGGGUGUAGCGGUGGAAUGCGUAGAGAUGUGGAGGAACACCAGUGGCGAAGGCGGCUUUCUGGUCUGUAACUGACGCUGAGGCGCGAAAGCGUGGGGAGCAAACAGGG